CACACCUGAGUCCAGUUAGUCAGCAGGGUGAGAGGGGGGGUGUUAAAGAAAGCUCUCCUCGGACACUCCCUGGUUUUAAAUCUGCUUCAGUUGUGUGUUUUCGUGGAGUUGACGGAAGUGCUUGUGUUUGCUGCUUCACUAAGCGGCUUCUAACUGGCUGAAGCCAUGGAGUUUCUCUUGAGGUGGUUUCUGCUGUCCUUGACGGCUGUUGGAGGACGUCAAGCUCAUGGUUUCAGCAUUGGAUAUGCUGAGAAGCAUGGCGGCAAUGAAGUGCCAGUUGCAGGCUAUCGACCAUAUUUAAAUGGCUUUAAAGCUGCAGGUGGGGCCUCAGGGAGGACUUGGCCUCGUGGUGGUGGUUCAGCCCCCAAUGUGUAUAA